CUGCCCAAUACUGCUGCUGUGGAAAGCUGCUUAGUGUGCGCUACGGGGAAGGAAUGGGGCAGGGCUGUGCUGCUUGUCAACGAUAAUGGAAUUAUAAUGACUUGUGGAGAUGGAAGCUAAGGCUGCGUGAUCCGGCGAGACUUAAUCAGCACCUCAGGGCCACAAUUGAUUGAAGCCCAUACUCAGCAGGUCUGUCCGAGCCAUUGCCUGUGGCCCAAAUCACAUUGUCUGCAUCGCCAGCGAUGGGGAGAUUUGAUUGACACUUACCCUAUGUGAAGCCUGUCUUUCUGGCCACCACCCUGAACGUUUGUUUCCACUGCUCAUUUGCUUCCUGGAUUACAGUAGAAACGAAGAAAGCUGCAUAGGAAAGUCAGCCCAGAGAGCUGCAGGGGCAUUGUAAUGAUUUGCCAGUAAGAAUCUGGGAAGCAGCAGCCAGCAGUAUCUGUGAUUACACUGAAAAAACAAGAUGGUUGCAAGAUGGGGAAAAAAGUGCAUAGUUAACCAGGGGAUUGAGGUAAGAUAAAUACAAUCCAAAUGUUCCAUGAAGCACGUAUAGUUCAUGCAGUAUUUAAAACAAUAUAGAUGAGCUGUACAGAAUUCGACAUUCACCACCCAAAGCAUGCUAUUAUUAUUAUUGUUAUUAUUAUUGAAUGUUGACCAGGUCCUAAUGAAACUGAACCAGAUGCUAGUAUUCACAAUUUUGAACAAGUCAGAUGUCAGCAAAUGGUUCCCAAACAUAACAAUUCGUUACCUUGAUGUACUGCCAAGUCAGAUGUCAGCAAAUGGUUCCCAAACAUAACAAUUCGUUACCUUGCUUCUGUAGAAUUUGUGCUAACUGCAGGCUGACAAGAUGGUUUCCAUUUGCAGAUCUGUGAGUAGUGGUUUAACAGUCACCUGGCCUGUGCGUCAGGGCUGUGAAAUCUGGAAGCAGUAAAACCUUAGAACAAGAAGGCAUGAAAGUGGGUCUGGUUGACAUCUGACCUCUUCUCUACAGUUCCUUUGAGCUGUUAAAAUGCAAGCGUAGCAAAAGUCAAAAGACAGCUGGGGUCUUUUCUGCAUUUGGAACAUGUGGACCGAGGGAAGGCAGGGGGCCCAUACUCAGCUCUACCUCAACUGCUUUUGGGUCAGGAAAACGUGUAUUUAUUCCCUUAGCAGUGAUCUGCUCCUAGAUCUGUUUUCACUGCUUUUAUGGAGUGCCUUGCCCCUUUCUUCCAAGUUCCAUAUUUUCAGAUUUACGGUAUGAUCUUCAAAGUAAAUGUGGAAAACAGUACUUGGUGCUACUAAUUUUUUUUUAU